UAUCAGCAAAGUCUGAUUUACGCGGUAUACCAACCGCGUAGUGGGCUAGAACCCGCAUAAGGAGAAACAAAAUG
rnacentral:ncRNA from 1 species